GACGAACGCUGGCGGCGUGCCUAAUACAUGCAAGUAGAACGCUGAAGGAGGAGCUUGCUUCUCCGGAUGAGUUGCGAACGGGUGAGUAACGCGUAGGUAACCUGCCUGGUAGCGGGGGAUAACUAUUGGAAACGAUAGCUAAUACCGCAUAACAGUAGAUGUUGCAUGACAUUUGCUUAAAAGGUGCAAUUGCAUCACUACCAGAUGGACCUGCGUUGUAUUAGCUAGUUGGUGAGGUAACGGCUCACCAAGGCGACGAUACAUAGCCGACCUGAGAGGGGGAUCGGCCACACUGGGACUGAGACACGGCCCAGACUCCUACGGGAGGCAGCAGUAGGGAAUCUUCGGCAAUAGACGGAAGUCUGACCGAGCAACGCCGCGUGAGUGAAGAAGGUUGUCGGAUCGUAAAGCUCGGUUGUAAGAGAAGAACGAGUGUGAGAGUGGAAAGUUCACACUGUGACGGUAGCUUAACAGAAAGGGACGGCUAACUACGUG
rnacentral:rRNA from 1 species